rnacentral:rRNA from 1 species
UGCCUAACACAUGCAAGUCGAACGUGAAAGGGAGCAAUCCUGAGUAAAGUGGCGCACGGGUGAGUAACGCGUAGGUAAUCUACCCCAGAGUCUGGAAUAACCUGCCGAAAGGCGGGCUAAUACUAGAUAGAGCGACGGAACUCGUAAUUGGGUUUUUCGGGAAAGGGAGGAAGCAAUUCUCUUUGCUUUGGGAUGAGCCUGCGUCUCAUUAGCUAGUUGGCGGGGUAACGGCCCACCAAGGCUAUGAUGGGUAGCUGGUCUGAGAGGAUGAUCAGCCACACUGGAACUGAAACACGGUCCAGACUCCUACGGGAGGCAGCAGUGGGGAAUCUUGCGCAAUGGACGAAAGUCUGACGCAGCCACGCCGCGUGAGUGAAGAAGGCCUUCGGGUUGUAAAGCUC